rnacentral:tRNA from 1 species
GCCGGGGUGCCCGAGCGGACCAAGGGGACGGGCUGGAGACCCGUUCCCCCGUCAAGGGGGGCGCGGGUUCGAAUCCCGCCCCCGGCGCCA